AUGGCUCCAACCUCUGGCAUCUCGCAGUUCCCCCAUGUCGCUGGAGCACCCUGUCCGUUCACAGCCACCACUUCAGGCCGUUCAACGCCACCAACCGAAGCGGUUCACCGUAGCAGAACCCUGGAUCCCGCUGCCACUAUGUCUCUCUCCUGCUGCAGCAUGGCUCAGCUAUUGUACUUGGUGGAGGUCAGAGCUUUUCCUCUCUGGAAUGCAAGUGUUCAUGAGAUAGGAGCAGAGAAGGAAGAUGGAAUCUGUUGGCUACGGUGGAGGGUGCAGGAGGAAGAGGAGUGUGGACGGCCGCUCACCGCUGGCGCCGAACGGGCUUUGAGCCUUGCAUCGCCAACCGAAGUUCGAUCUGGCCCCUAUUGCAGUACGACGUGGGGGUCACCGAGGUUUCCUCCACUAGAGCCACUGCGGCCCACGGCAGCCCAUGGUGGUGGAGUUCGUCGCGUCCAUCAGUCCAACCCCAUGGCUUUAGUGCGUCCGAGUUUCGUCGCGGCCAUCAGUUCGAACACCUGCAUCACUACAUGUGUUGCAACCAUGGCCAUUCGUGUCACUGCAUGCUCCGUCACCGGCCUCCUGCGCACCGUGACCCCUGCCGCACUCCUUCCUCUCCCUGAAGCUGCUCGUGCCCACCCAGGCUUGAUAUCCUGCUGCAGUGAUGAGCUCCUGUACAUCGCCGAAGUUCCAUACCUGCUCAACGGCACCAGCACGACGAUGCAGCAGCUAGGCUGA
rnacentral:rRNA from 1 species